rnacentral:rRNA from 1 species
AUUGAACGCUGGCGGAAUGCUUUACACAUGCAAGUCGAACGGCAGCACGGACUUCGGUCUGGUGGCGAGUGGCGAACGGGUGAGUAAUGUAUCGGAACGUGCCCAGUCGUGGGGGAUAACGUAGUGAAAAUUACGCUAAUACCGCAUACGAUCUAUGGAUGAAAGCGGGGGAUCGCAAGACCUCGCGCGAUUGGAGCGGCCGAUAACAGAUUAGGUAGUUGGUGGGGUAAAGGCCCACCAAGCCAACGAUCUGUAGCUGGUCUGAGAGGACGACCAGCCACACUGGAACUGUGAACCGGUCCAGACUACUACGGGAGGCAGCAGUGGGGAAUGUUGGACAAUGGGCGAAAGCCUGAUCCAGCCAUUCCGCGUGCAGGAUGAAGGCCCUCGGGUUGUAAACUGCUUUUGUACAGAACGAAAAGGUUUCUACUAAUACUAGGAGCUCAUGACGGUACUGUAAGAAUAAGCACCGGCUAACUACGUGCCAGCCGCCGCCGUAA